GGAGGGGUAGCAAAGCCUGGUCAAAUGCGCAGGACUUAGGAUCCUGUCCCUUAGGGGUUCGUGAGUUCAAAUCUCACCCCCUCCA
rnacentral:tRNA from 1 species